UCGAGCGAAGCGAGAGAACGUUGCGUCAGCAACGGCCCGCAGGGCGAGCCACGAAGUGGUGAGUCAUCCUCUAUCACCGACCA
rnacentral:sRNA from 1 species